GACCCCGUCGCGCAUGGUAUGCAUCCGCUCCCAUUGACCUUGUUGGCCGGUUUAAUUCAUGCGGAGGACCCCGGUUCGACUCCGGGCGGGGUUA